rnacentral:lncRNA from 1 species
AAGAUGAUCCGCCAUAUCAUUUAGUUUUACAAAGUUAGACUGUCGCCAAAAAACACUGCAUAAUAGUACUUAAUCAAGCUUACACAACACUUGAAGUUUAUUACAGGAUCUUCAUACCUGUCUACUCAUAGUAAAAGAACAGAAAGAAAUAUUGAUCUUUAUAGCUGUUCUGGUGAGACAACGGUAAGAAACACACCAGACCUUUAUUGAUUAAGGAACAACUAGCGACUAAAUGCAGCUCUUAUGGUGUACAGGAGGUACGUGGUAGCAAUGGGCCAUGGUACGUAGAAGGUGGCAGGUUUGUUGGUGGGGUGGAUGGUCUAGUUUAUGGAGUACUAAGCAGAAGCCCAUAUGGAGGAGGAGAAGGGGGUGAAUAUGUAGUUGGUGGUGAUGGUGGUUGGCCAUAAGUAGGUGUAGGUGGUCGUGGCUGCCUAUGAGGAGGAGGCGGCGAGUGAAUUUGUCUUGGCGGAGGAGCAGAGAAAGUCGGUGGUGAUGGUGGCUGGCCAUAAGUAGGUGUAGGUGUUCGUGGCUGCCAAUGAGGAGGAGGCGGUGAGUGAAUUUGUCUUGGCGGAGGAGGAGAGAAAGUCGGUGGUGAUGGUGGCUGGCCAUAAGUAGGUGUAGGUGGCCGUGGCUGCCUAUGAGGAGGAGGAGGCAAGUGAAUUCGUCUUGGCGGAGGAGGAGAGAAAGUCGGUGGUAGUGGCUGCACUUGGGGAGGCGGAGGCGAGUAAAUUGGUGAUGGUGGCGGUGGUGAGUAUGCAGGUGGAGGAGGUGAGUAUGUUGGUGGAGGUGGUGGUGGUUGUGCAUAUGCAGGGGGAGGAGGCGAGUAUGUAGGUGGAGGAGGAGAAUACGUUGGCGGUGGUGGUGGUGAGUAUGCAGGUGGAGGAGGCGAGUAUGUUGGUGGAAGCGGUGGUGGUUGUGCAUAUGUAGGGGGAGGAGGCGAGUAUGUAGGUGGAGGAGGAGAAUAUGUUGGUGGUGCAGGCAAAGGAGGGGAAUACGCUGGUGGAGGUGGAGGUGAUUGUCCAUAUGUGGGUGGAGGUGGCGAGAAGGAUGGUGGUGGUGGAGGAGGUGAGUAAAUUGGUGAUGAUGGCGGUGGUGGUGGCAAAUAUGUAGGUGGAGGAGGGGAAUAUGAUGGUGGUGGCGGUGGUGAGUAUACGGGCGGAGGAGGCGAGUAAAUUGGUGAUGAUGGCAGUGGCAAAUAUGUAGGUGGAGGAGGGGAGUACGUUGGUGGUGGUGAGUAUGCUGGAGGAGGAGGCGAGAAAGUUGGUGUUGGUGGUGGAGAUGGUGAGUAUGCAGGUGGAGGAGGCGAGUAAAUUGGUGAUGGUGGUGGUGGAGAGUAUGUAGGUGGAGGAGGCGAGUACGUUGGUGAGGGUUGGGG